ACGCUGGCGGCAGGCCUAACACAUGCAAGUCGAGCGGUAGAGAGAAGCUUGCUUCUCUUGAGAGCGGCGGACGGGUGAGUAAUGCCUAGGAAUCUGCCUGGUAGUGGGGGAUAACGUUCGGAAACGGACGCUAAUACCGCAUACGUCCUACGGGAGAAAGCAGGGGACCUUCGGGCCCUUGCGCUAUCAGAUGAGCCUAGGUCGGAUUAGCUAGUUGGUGAGGUAAUGGCUCACCAAGGCGACGAUCCGUAACUGGUCUGAGAGGAUGAUCAGUCACACUGGAACUGAGACACGGUCCAGACUCCUACGGGAGGCAGCAGUGGGGAAUAUUGGACAAUGGGCGAAAGCCUGAUCCAGCCAUGCCGCGUGUGUGAAGAAGGUCUUCGGAUUGUAAAGCACUUUAAGUUGGGAGGAAGGGCAUUAACCUAAUACGUUAGUGUUUUGACGUUACCGACAGAAUAAGCACCGGCUAACUCUGUGCCAGCAGCCGCGGUAAUACAGAGGGUGCAAGCGUUAAUCGGAAUUACUGGGCGUAAAGCGCGCGUAGGUGGUUUGUUAAGUUGGAUGUGAAAUCCCCGGGCUCAACCUGGGAACUGCAUUCAAAACUGACUGACUAGAGUAUGGUAGAGGGUGGUGGAAUUUCCUGUGUAGCGGUGAAAUGCGUAGAUAUAGGAAGGAACACCAGUGGCGAAGGCGACCACCUGGACUAAUACUGACACUGAGGUGCGAAAGCGUGGGAGCAAAC
rnacentral:rRNA from 1 species